AGCGUCCGAGAACCGAACACCUGCUGCUCUGCCUGCAAUCCCACCGGUAUAUGCUGGCGCGAAAUGCACGUAGGGAAAGAGGGAAAUGGUAGUGAGAUCUCACGGACGUCACGCACGCCCGUAUACGGGCUCCUUCUUACCACUGAGCGCCCUCACGUAAGAAGUCCCCCAUAGAGAAUGCAUUCUAUGGGGGAGCCUCAGUCUCGACCUUCGAAAACGCCAGUAUAGCGGUAUGGUCCACUCAUACCACUCGUAGCUAAGCUAAACAUGGGACCGACGAGAAAGAAUGCUGGCAAUGCGGUGGACAUCAUCACAGGAAGAAAAGAGCUAUUGCGACGAGCUGCGCGAGACAUGGAUGCAGAAAAGGAAUGGAAAGAGAAGGCACAUGGAAUACAACGAAGAAUGCAAUGUGACUGUAGAAUCACUCACUUUGCAGUUAUCAGACAAGACUUGCAAAUGGAGGCAUCUUCUCCAGCGGGGAAGUUUCUUCUCUGGAAGGUAUCGAGGAGGAGGAGGAGAUACUUCAGACUGCGCUGACAUAAUCCUCGGGGUGCGCACCCAUGUGCGGAAACAGGGUUCCCAGCGGCGUCUUCCUGCGUUGCAAAAG